AUUAAACGCUGGCGGCAUGCCUUACACAUGCAAGUCGAACGGCAGCACGGGGGCAACCCUGGUGGCGAGUGGCGGACGGGUGAGUAAAGCAUCGGAACGUAUCCUGGAGUGGGGGGAUAACGUAGCGAAAGUUACGCUAAUACCGCAUAUUCUGUGAGCAGGAAAGCAGGGGAUCGCAAGACCUUGCGCUCUGGGAGCGGCCGAUGUCGGAUUAGCUAGUUGGUGGGGUAAAGGCCUACCAAGGCGACGAUCCGUAGCGGGUCUGAGAGGAUGAUCCGCCACACUGGGACUGAGACACGGCCCAGACUCCUACGGGAGGCAGCAGUGGGGAAUUUUGGGACAAUGGGCGCAAGCCUGAUCCAGCCAUGCCGCGUGAGUGAAGAAGG
rnacentral:rRNA from 1 species